AUUGAACGCUGGCGGCAGGCUUAACACAUGCAAGUCGAGCGCGCGGCGCACGGGAGAGAUAUGUCUGGGAAAGCGUCUGAUGGAGGGGGAACACUAGUGGAAGCGGUCGCAAAUACCGUAUAAUCACAGGUGUGCACAGAUGGGAUUAGCUAGUAGGUGGGGUAAUGGCUCACCUAGGCGACGAUCCCUAGCUGGUCUGAGAGGAUGACCAGCCACACUGGAACUGAGACACGGUCCAGACUCCUACGGGAGGCAGCAGUGGGGAAUAUUGCACAAUGGGCGCAAGCCUGAUACAGCCAUGCCGCGUGUGUGAAGAAGGCCUUCGGGUUGUAAAGCACUUUCAGCGGGGAGGCGUUACCCGCAGAAGAAGCACCGGCUAACUCCGUGCCAGCAGCCGCGGUAAUAC
rnacentral:rRNA from 1 species